GAAAUGCGAUAAGUAAUGUGAAUUGCAGAAUUCAGUGAAUCAUCGAAUCUUUGAACGCACAUUGCGCCCGCUGGCAUUCCGGCGGGCAUGCCCGUUCGAGCGUCAUUUCAACCCCUUCCCAGGAAAUUCUUUUAGGAGGGUGACCCAUUAGGUGCCACCCCCACUCUUCACGAUCUCAAAUCAGAUAGGACUACCCGCUGAACUUAA
rnacentral:misc_RNA from 1 species